AGCUCCAAUAGCGUAUAUUAAUGUUGUUGCAGUUAAAAGCUCGUAGUUGGAUAUCUGGCCUUUGCGUUGACGACCCGCCCUCUUUUGGGAUGAGCGUUGGAGACGUGGGUCUAUUUUCCGGUUGGUGUCCAUUCCACUUUAUUGGGGCGUGGUUCACGAUCCGGAUCGUUUACUUUGAAAAAUUCGAGUGUUCAUAGCAGGCUUACGCCGUGAAGAUCGCAGCAUGGAAUAAUAACAUAGGACUUGGCGUUCUAUUUUGUUGGUUCUGGAACCUAAGUAAUGAUUGAUAGGGACAGUUGGGGGUGCUGCUAUAGACUGGCCAGAGGUGAAAUUCUAAGACUCAGUCUAGAGCAACUUAUGCGAAAGCAUUCACCAAGGAUGUCUUCU
rnacentral:rRNA from 1 species